rnacentral:rRNA from 1 species
ACGUAGGGUGCAAGCGUUGUCCGGAUUUACUGGGUGUAAAGGGAGCGCAGGCGGGUCGGCAAGUCCUUGGUGAAAUCCUGAGGCUUAACCUCAGGACUGCCAAUGAUACUGCUGAUCUUGAGUACAGAAGAGGAAGAUGGAAUUCCUGGUGUAGCGGUGAAAUGCGUAGAUAUCAGGAAGAACACCGGUGGCGAAGGCGGUCUUCUGGUCUGUAACUGACGCUCAUGCUCGAAAGCGUGGGGAGCAAACAGGAUUAGAUACCCUGGUAGUCCACGCCCUAAACGAUGGAUACUCGAUGUCGGGUCGCAAGGCCCGGUGUCCAAGCUAACGCGUUAAGUAUCCCACCUGGGGAGUACGAUCGCAAGGUUG